ensembl:lncRNA
UAAUAAUUCAUCUUUUAAUAUUUAAGCUGGCUACAGCCAUAAAGACAAAGCACAGGGACACGGCAAAUCCAUCCAAUCCAGAAUCACAUUUUUAUUUGUUAUAAAUAUCACAUCUUAUAAAAAAGAUAGAAAGAUUUUUAAAAAGUAGUUAUAAAAGUAGAAUAACAAGUCACAUCCUCACGUGUAGAAAAAUAGGGAGUAGCAGUGCAGAGAAAUAGGAUGUUGUGCUGAUCACAGUGACCUGAUGGGUGGGGAACACUUGGGUUGAUCCUCAUCAGUCUGGGCGGUAGCACGUGGCGGUUAGCUAACCCUAACCCGUUAGGCCGGGUAAGUGGUUCAGUUAUACCAGCCUUCUGAGCAUGUAUAGCUAACCAGUUAGAGUCUCUUCCAUUCAUACAUGUCUUUAUUUAUUUUGAAUCCCGACUGGCAAACCACCAAACAAGAUGUUUGACUACUAGACCUAGCUAACCGACCUAGCUAACCGACAGACGCUGUCGGCAAAUGAUAUCGGAUAUCACAUUGUAAAGGACAUGCUCUCUCUUGUCUUUGUUCUUUGGCUUUAAAGAGAUUUGAAAAACUAAAAAACACAAGUCACAUACAUUUUACACCUUUAAAGCUCCACUCAUGUCAUGGUUCAUUGGCAUCAAAUGGUAUGGAAUAAAAAACAACCAGUAGCAACAAACAAGUUGAUAAAAUGAGGUAUAACACAAAUUUACAAAACACAGAACGGCGAGUGAAGGGCACACAAAAAGGUUUCAUAUUUGGAUGGAGGAUAAGGGAGUGGGGAGUGUGUUUACGGGGACGGUGGUCUUCUGAGAGUAUAGCGAUGCUCCCUCUCUCGUCCCCCCGGAGGAGAGCCCAACAUAUGAAUAGCACCAAAGGACCCUGCUGACGGCUCGGUCGAUCCGGGGUUAAUGGCUCCCUGCAGAGAGGAACGGACCAAUCACAGAGUCAGAAUCACACGGCAUGACGGCGUUCGACCAAUUACAUCACGACCUGGACUACGUGAGGUUAGGAGUUAGAUAUUGAAUUAUGUUAAUUAGGAAUGUGAAAAGAUUUAUGUUUAGUUCAAUCAUAAAUAAUUAUUUGCCCUGAAAUAUAUCAUUUGUGAAAUACAAACUUUUUUCUAAAACACAAAAAGCUAAAAAUACAAAAAACAGGAAAAGGGUUUCUGGAAAAUAAAAUGGCUGGGGAGCUUCGUUGCGAUGACAGUUCAACAUCAGAUCUCACAUCCUGGACAAAUCGCUACGUGUAGCACCUUGUUAUUGCACUCACCCCUUGAGUGUGUGUUUGUGUGUGUGUUUGUGUGUGUGUGUGUGUGUGAGAUGGUGAGAGAGCAAAGAGGAAAGGAAGGAGAGGGACAGCUGUUAAACCCCUCUAAACCCAACACCUGAGCACCGCAACCUUUGUCCUUUCAUCACCGUCCCCUCGGCGCGAAUUACGACACGUCUUUGAAGCAGGCGACCGUCGUCUAAACCCCCCCACCCUCUCGCACUCAGGAACAGGAAACCUUAUGAGUGACGGGCGAACCGCUGUUCAAGGCGGGCCCAAGACCUCCCAAAACAUACAUGUAACAUUCUUAGUCUUUCAUCAGCAGGCUGAGGGCGGAGCCCGUCCUCAGGUGUGUGUGUGUGUGUGUCUAUCGUCAGGUGUGUGUCUGUGUGAGUGUGUGUGUGUCUGUUCUCAGGUGUGUGUGUGUGCGUCUGUGUGAUUGUGUGUCCUGAGAUGUGUGUUUGUGCGUGUGAGUGUGUGAGUGUGUGUGUGGAUGAUGACAACGCACAAAGGUGGUGGUUAUGGGAUUAACCCGUGUUUAGCGAGCCACUUUGUAGAGUAAAGACGCUUGUUAACGCAAAGGCCUAAUGCCAUCUGCUGAUAGAACACACCACAACGUACACACGCUGAGACACACACCUGAAAAGCAUCCAGAUAGAACCUACAGCUGUGUAAUCACGCUCACACACACACACA